GUCAAAAUAAGUAAACAUUAAAAAAAGAAAAAACAUAGAUAAAAAUUAUGAUUGUUGGUUAUAUCCUGACUUAGAGGAUGCAUUUUAAAAUACUAUAAAUAGCAUGUAGACAUUAAAUCCUUUUAUGUGAACAUAAUUUUUAGUGGCUGCACCGUGUGAGAAUCUAAGUCUUGAGGGGAGAAUAGGAAUUAAUCCAAUCCACAAAUAAAUACGUAAUUUCUGCUUUGAUAAGGAGAUGGUCCAGUAAAAGAGUACACGAUAGGGGAUUUGACAUGGGGGUCAGGAAAAGCUUCCACAUCACAAGAGGGUGAUGACUCAUUGGAAUCUAAAUGAUAAUUCCAAGUGCCCCUAGCGCACUAGGCAGGGAUGGCAUAGAGAUGGCAUGAGAAGGGACUCCCAGGAAAGAUGACAACUUGAAGGCAUUGACUCUGAAUUUGGGUGGAACAGGACUCUCAGACUUCAGUCAGCCCCACGUACCCCAGGACUUUUCAAGAGACGUCCUCAUUUCAGCUGGAUUUCAACCCAGUAGAAUGCUGGAGAAGUGGAGGCCACCCUGGAUCCUAAGAAAAGCUGGCACAGAAAAAGCCUUAUCUCAAGAAAUGGCGCCUUGUUGGGAGUGGACUUUCUUCUUACCAUCCAAUUCCAGGAGUGGUGCAGCAGGCGUAUUGCAACACUGACGAGGAUUCGGAUUCGUUGACAGUGUCUCCGCAAACGGGUGGUCUCCAGGUGAUGCUGCUGGUCUGGGGCCACACUCUGAGAGCCGCUGAGUUUUCGAGCAGCUGCUCUUGUGCCUGGACUGAUCCUCACUGCAAUUCAGCCAGGAAGUUUCCUUACCCGCAUUUGAGAUCCCAGGUCCAGAAGAGGGAAGUGGCGUCCUCAGAAGCACACAGGUGUGGCUGACUUCACAUCCACCCCUCUGUACACUAAACUGCAGCAGCUUUCUCAACGUCGAUUUUAAAGCCAGUGCGUCAAAUCAAGAAUCCUGGUGAGGGCCUGCCCGUCCCUCUGGGCUGUCCUGGAGUCACGGCAAGGAGCCGGAGUAAAGCCUUACAGAGUCACUCACCCUGACUUGGAUAUUUUGCUAAAUAGAGCUUGGGAGGAAGUUCUCGGACACACGCUUCAGUCUGUGUAUCUGUGGUCCCUGACUCCCUGUGCCCCACGCCCAGGAAUGAUGACCCUGUCCCUUCUGAGCACGGCAAACGGCCCUCUGGUGGACUAAAAGAGUUAAUGCAAUUUCCGAAAGGUUUAACAUGGGAAGCACAGGGCGUCAGAACUCCUCUGCGUUGAGGCUCAGUGCUGGCUGUGGCCUGGACUCACCUGAGGCGGGUGAAAAAUGCCAACCGUGAGCCCCAACGCCAGAGCUGCUCCUGCCGCUGGGUUUGGGGUUAUCUAGCAGCCCAGGCAUCCUGUCGUUCAAAAGAAAAGCGUUCCAGGUGAAUUCUGAGAUCAGCCAGAGGUAAGAACCGCUGGAGCAUGGAUCAGAAUCCCCCGGAGAGCUUGUUAAAACACACAUUUCAAAGCUCCACCCCCACCCCCACCCCCCAGAGAUGCCAAUUCAGUGAGUCUGGGUUGGAGCAACAGAAUUUGCAUUUCUAACAAACUGCUGGGUGAUGCUGAUCCCGCCUUCCAGAACCGGACUUGGAGCCAGCACGCUCAUCCAUGUCAUGUUCAGAGAACCGCUCAGAACCACCGAGGAGUGAUUGCUUCACAUCACAGAGCCACUGACUUGCACAUUCUGGGUGACAACUCAGCCUGGCUGACUGUAGCCUGAGGCGUGCUUUGCUACUGGGGCUCAGCACCUCCAUUCAGCAGACCCUUGCUUAUUAAGUGCUUAUUAAUAAGCACUUGGUGCUAUUCUAGGUGCUGGGGGAAGAGGGGUGAGGAUGAGAAGGACAGUCACGGUUCCUGUCCUCCCAGAGCUUAUGUUCAAGUGAGGCGGUUUCAACCAGGGAUGAUUUCAUUCCCCUCCUCCCCACCGGGGACACUUGGGAAUGAAUGUCUAGAGACAUUUCUAGUUGUCACAACUGGGACAGAAGGAGAGGGAUGCCACUAGCAUCUAGUGGGUCAAGGCUAGGGAUACUGCUACAUGUCCUACAGUGCACAAGAGAGCCCCCUGCAACACAGAACGAUCUGGCCCAAAAUGUCAGUAGUCCUGAGGCUGAGAAACCCUGGCCCGUUGGCAAGACAGACAUAUAAGCAGGUGAUUAAAAUACACUGGGGGUGACAUGUGCGAUGGAAGACGUGAGGGUGCUGUUGGAUCCAGAGAAAGGGACCUCAUCCACGGGUCUGGGGUCUCAGGAGUUCUAGAAGAGGUAAUAUCUAAGCUGGAAACAGAAGGAUGAGUCAAACAAGGCAGUAAGUUUGGGGUGCAUAAAGAAUGUUUACUUUGGGGGCACCUGGGUGGCUCAGUCGGUUAAGCAGCCAAAUUGGGCUCAAGUCAUGUUCUUGUGGUUCACAGGUUCAGGCCCCGCAUCAGGCUCUGUGCUGACAGAUCAGAGCCUAGAGCCUGCUUGGGAUUCUCUGUCUCCCUUUCUUUCUGCCUGCUCCCCCCUCCCCCCGCCCCACCACAUGC